GGGGAUAAAUAUGUAGGAGUAAAAUUAGUAGAGUGUGUAUAUGUUUCAUUUUAUUAAAAACUGUGAGAACUUUCCCCAAAGUGAUCAUAUCAUUUUAUGUUCUCACCAACAAGGUAUGAGUGUUACAGUUGUUCUGCAUCCUUGGGUUUCUUCUAAUGUUAACAUCACAUAUAGCCAUAGUACAAUAGUCAAAACAGGGACAUUAACACUGGCACAAUACUAUUCACUAAAUUAGACUUGAUUCAAAUGCACCAGUUUCCCAUAGUUUUGGUGUUCCAAGAUUCUAUCUAGGAUCUCAUAUUGCAUUUAAAUUUAAAAAAAUUUUUUUUUUUUGAGACAGAAUCUCACUCUGUCACCUCGGCUCACUGCAACCUCCCCCUCUGGGGUUCAAGCGAUUCUUGUGCUUCAGCCUCCCAAGUAGCUGGGAUUACAGGCGCGCACCAUGAUGCCUGGCUAAUUUUUGUAUUUUUAGAAGAGAUGGGAUUCCACUAUGUUGGCCAGGCUGUUUUUGAAUUCCUGACCUCAAGUGAUCGGCCUGCUGUGGUCUCCCAAGGUGCUGAGAUUACAGGCGUGAGCCGCUGUGCCCAGCUCAUACUGAAUUUAAUUGUUAUUUCUUAUGCUCCCUUCCCUUUUAAAAAUUGAGUUGUUCUUUUUGUCAUUAAGUUCCAGGUGUAUUUUAUAUAUUCUGAAUACAAGUUCUUUUAGUCUUUUGCUUUGAAAUUAUUUUUUC
rnacentral:lncRNA from 1 species